AGUCAUGGCUCUAAAUAUGUACCUGCAAUCGGAUGUUGAGGAUCACCGAGCCCGCGACGUAGAAGUACGGGAAGUUCAUGCGCAGCUGCCAGGCCAGCUCGAAGAAGGCGAGCAGGGUGCGGGAGAGCCCCUUGCAGAAGACGCCGUACGAGGUGGGUGUCGCGGCGGGGCUUGAGGCCCUGACGGCCAAGGAGGACGGAGCCGCCGCGGGGGCCAUGAGCCAGGUGUCGCCGCCCGCCCAGCGUCUGUAGCGAGGGUUGCCGCAGGGCCCGCGGACCUCCUAGCGACGGCUGGGACCGGCAGGACGGGGAAGUCCAGGAAACUCACUUGCUCUGGGCUGCAUGCUGGCUAAACAGAAAGGAUCUGCCAGUGAAGGAAGGCAGAAAACCCACCAAUCCUGGACUCUGCAUGAACACCAGGAAAAACCCAUUUGCUGCAGGAAGGGGGCAGUUAACCUGAUGAUAUCAAGACCCUCCACUGAUACAAGACAUUGAUUGACUGACACUCAAGGAGGGGCAGGAAGAUUGCCUGACUUGGACUCCCAUGCUGACACUGGGUGAAAGCCAUCUGUUGCUACUGGAGGAGGGGGAGAAAACCGGCUUUCA
rnacentral:lncRNA from 1 species